GAUGAACGCUGGCGGCGUGCCUAAUACAUGCAAGUCGAGCGAACAGACGAGGAUCUUGCUCCUCUGACGUUAGCGGCGGACGGGUGAGUAACACGUGGAUAACCUACCUAUAAGACUGGGAUAACUUCGGGAAACCGGAGCUAAUACCGGAUAAUAUAUUGAACCGCAUGGUUCAAUAGUGAAAGACGGGUUUGCUGUCACUUAUAGAUGUAUCCGCGCCGCAUUAGCUAGUUGGUAUGGUAACGGCUUACCAAGGCGACGAUGCGUAGCCGACCUGAGAGGGUGAUGGGCAACACUGGAACUGAGACACGGUCCAGACUCCUACGGGCGGCAGCAGUAGGGAAUCUUCGGCAAUGGGCGAAAGCCUGACGGAGCAACGCCGCGUGAGUGAUGAAGGUCUUCGGAUCGUAAAACUCUGUUAUUAGGGAAGAACAAAUGUGUAAGUAACUAUGCACGUCUUGACGGUACCUAAUCAGAAAGCCACGGCUAACUACGUG
rnacentral:rRNA from 1 species